GGGCGUGUAGCUCAGUUGGUAGAGCGUUGCUUCUGUACUGCGAAAGGUCCUGAGUUCGAUUCUUAGCUCAUCCA